UACGUAGGGUGCAAGCGUUGUCCGGAAUUAUUGGGCGUAAAGAGCUCGUAGGCGGUCUGUCACGUCGGAUGUGAAAACUCGGGGCUCAACCCCGAGCCUGCAUACGAUACGGGCAGACUUGAGUUCGGCAGGGGAGACUGGAAUUCCUGGUGUAGCGGUGAAAUGCGCAGAUAUCAGGAGGAACACCGGUGGCGAAGGCGGGUCUCUGGGCCGAUACUGACGCUGAGGAGCGAAAGCGUGGGUAGCAAACAGG
rnacentral:rRNA from 1 species